rnacentral:lncRNA from 1 species
GGGACUGGAGGUUACAGCUGCCUGGGAGGCAGCCUGCAGGCACAGCCAAUUCGUUGUUUGCAGUAUAGUUAUGGUCUAUAAGGACCCCGCAGACACUGCAUUAGCAGAUCCCAAGACAUUUCUCCAGGGGAAAUGCGGGGUUAGGUUCCUGUGGGCCUCUGGUGAGCCAAUCAAUAUAUAACCUGACUUGCAUGUGUCUGCUUAAAGACACCUUAUUCAACGUACUGUUGAUUCAUUAACACUGAACCUGCACCCAGCAGCUGAAUGAAGCUCCCCUAAGGCCCCCCAGCCUCUCCUGCUCAGGACACAAGACAGCACCAGGCACAGGGCCAUUCCAAACAGCAAAGUCACCGGCGAAGAGCACCAAGUGUGGAAAGCUGGGCACUACGGAGGCCUCGGCCCUGUUUACAGACCUCAGGCUCACCUAAGAGAGAGGACUUGCUGACUGCAGUGUCCAGGGCGCUUCCAGGCCUAGGCAGGCUCUUACUGAAGACGAAGUAUCUGAUGUUUCUGAAGCCUGAAUUCAAGGACAAAGCAAAUUGCUC